UUGGUUCAACAGUUGUAGUGAUAGCUUCCGUUGUUGUAGGUUCUACAGUUGUAGUGACAGCCUCUGUUGAAGUAGGUUCAACAGUUGUAGUGAAAGCUUCUGUUGUUGUAGGUUCAACAGUUGUAGUGACAGCUUCUGUUGUAGUAGGUUCUACAGUUGUAGUGACAGAUUCUGUUGUAGUAGGUUCUACAGUUGUAGUGACAGAUUCUGUUGUAGUAGGUUCUACAGAUGUAGUGGCAGCUUCUGUUGUUGUAGGUUCAACAGUUGUAGUGAUAGCUUCUGUUGUAGUAGGCUCUACAGUUGUAG
rnacentral:lncRNA from 1 species